CUUUGGAAAGAUCUAGGCAAAGUAUAAGUAGACUCAAUGGGAGAAAUACUUUAUGGGAUACAUAUUUCUAAUUGACACAGCAAAGUAACGAGAGUAACAGUUACAUACAAGGGUUCCAACAGCAACCAAGAGCUCUGUGAACAAAGAUGACGAUUCCCUUCAUUUCCUCCUGAGAACAGGGUGAGUCACAGCAAACCCAGUCAUCUCCAUGUUAUUAAAGCAAGCCAUCACUUCUACACAUCUUUUAAUUCCUCAUGAGGAAGGGUUGUCUUUUUCCCCAGUAAAGUAACAAAAUUGCUAAGAAUUUCUAAGUGCACAGACUAUGAAAUAAAAGUAAUUACCUCUAUCAAGUGAAAGCACUGGGCCAGUUCAGCAAUCUUCAGAGUAGUCUGUGUUCUGCUGCAGUGAGCUUUCAGCUCUUGAGAAUCAUUUAAACAAAGAGUAACACCCAUGGGUUCUCUCCUUGGUGCAGAGCCCUGUCAACAGGAUGUGAGUCUCUCUGCAGAGGCUCAUGGGGCUGCCCGGGACCCUCAGGCUGCCCAGUGCUCAGGGUGAGGGGUUAGACUGAGAUACUGGUGGCUCCCUGAAGGCAAAACUAGGACUAGAACUCAGAUGUCUUGAUUCUUGGACUAGGGUCCUCAUUCUAGGAAUCAACAAGAUAAAUGGUCCCCAAAGGACAGUACACACAUUGAGAUCUACAACACGUGACACAAGUACACACUGGGUGCACACUGACAGUGUGAGGAAAGUCUCAGAUCUCUGAAGUUCAACAUCUCUUUCCCAAUGGGAAUUACUGGUGAUCAAAGCUCACAAACUGAUAAUGACCAUGUAUUGUGACAGGUGCUGAUUUUAUGAGUUACACCUCCUAAAGGUUUUAAUUGAAAAGAUCCUUGGUAAUAAAAAUGGAACAUCUUGAUAUGAACUCGUUGGCUGCUAUAAAUAUCUUAUGAUUUUGAUUUUAAUUAUUUUAUUUCUCUUUAGAACAAAGAGCUUAUAAAAACAAAAAUACUGAGGGAAAUGCUCUUUUUUUUUUGUACUGGGGAUCCAACUCAGGACCUUGGGCUUACAAUGCAGGCAGCAGAACCACUGAGUUAAAUCCCCAGCCCAAGAGAAAUGUUCUUUUUAGAACUUCAACAUAUUUUUAUUUUGUAUCAAAAGCUUUAAGACUAACCAUUUAAAUUUGUAGUAUUUCCCUAUACUGUUUUUUGGUACACUAAGUUUUCUUUCACCUGCAGCCUAAAUGCAAGACUUGACAGGUGUAUACUCUUUUCAAAUGUUACCCACACACAAUCAAAUCAAAGUAUAUGCAAUUUGUAAACAGGCUGUGGUGGGGACACCUCUAAGUAUCUGCUUUGAAAGCAUCACUAAUAUCCUCUAGACUUGUGUUCCAAGGGUGAGACCACCACAAAUCAAGAGAAAUGUUUUUGUUUGGGUAUUUCUUUCCUCCAAAAUAUUCUAGUAGGUACAGUUAAGAAAUAAUUGACAGGGGCUGGAGAUGUAGCUCUUAGUAGUGCGUGUGCUCAGCCUCCACAAGGUGCAAAUUUCAAUUCUAGCUCUUCCAGGAAAAGAACAAGGAAGGACAGAAAGAGGGCAAAGAAAAACAAAUGCUUAACCGAAGUUCAUAUGUAUGUGUCACACAGAAAGACACAGAUGUAGCUAUGAGCUCUUCACCCUGGGACACCUUCUCUGAGUCAUAAAAAUACCAGUUUUAUAUACUGGGCACCUUGUCUAGUGCCUGUGAAUGGCAAAGCGAUGCCUCUGCAUCCCAGAACUAAGAACUCUGUGCAUAAACAUAAAGCCAAAUUGUCAAUGGGUUGCAGCAAGUGCAAAACCACCCCCAACCACCAGCGUGUCAAUCACAGACAACCUUAAACCAAUCCAUCAUGCUAUAAAUCACCCUUGCACAGUCUUUGGCUCAUUUGCAUCUACUAGCUAAAAGAACAAAUUUCAAAGGAUCAUAAACAACUCUUCUGCAAAAGUCAUAAACUGCCAUGAAAGCUGCCAGCUCUGCCUUCGUGGUGAUUUCUAGCCUAGCUGCCUGCUAGAAUUGUCACCGGGACAGCCAGGAGGCAGGGAGUCUGAGAGUCCGCACAGUGGUUUCCUAAGACGAGCCAGUGUGUGUGACUAUCAGCCAACACAGCUCUGCAGGCAGCAGUCUGGAAUGUCUAACAGAGAGAAUAAGAAAUGACACCCGUACUUUUAACUCUCCCUCAAAUUAGAGUUCCUGUGGGUCAGCCUUCAUAGGAAGGCCUGGAUGUUCUCAUUUGGUUUGGCUGAAAAGCAGCUGCACAAGUACUGGGAAAUUCUGUACCAAACCAGGUGCCACCUCCAACAAAUUUCAGUCUUAUGUUAAGGGUUCUGAAGUACUUCAGGGAGUUGGAAUUAAAGUGCUCACAAUCCUCUUUGCUUUGUGAUAGGCUUCAUUGUAAACAAUCCCCCAAGAGUGUAUCACCUCCGUAUUCCCUAAAGUAAAAUUUUAUUUCCCUCCAAGGUAUGUGGAUCUUUGGUUUCAUUCAUCUAUGUUACAGCAUUGAAUCAAGUUUGAUGAGUGCCAUUAAUAAAUUCAAAACAACUGAGUCAUUUAAAACAUUUUGAAUGAACAAUUAAUAAAGU
ensembl:lncRNA